CCGCGAGUGUUGAUAAACUGUAUAUCAAUGUUUUAUACUUUUUAUAAUAUAGCACAAAGAAAUAUAAACAAAGAAAUUUUCCCUGCUGACAUUGAGUCAACACGGCAAUAACUAUAUAUACCUGAACACCAAUAUGAUUUGCUAUUAUAAAAAAUUUAAAAUUUUUGUGCAAAGCGUCUAUGGUAAUAAUUGAGUAAGCUAAAGUUUAUAAAUUCGCGCUACAUGUACUCAUGACUAUAAUAUAGACCGUAGUCAUAAUUCGCAAUCGAGGCCCCGUAUCCUAGGAAACGGGAAUAAACGCGAGAAAAUUGCCGGUUAUAAAAUAGAGUAAGGUGACUAGAAAUCAACGUGUUUUCCAAAAAUUAUGUGUAAAAUUAAUCACAUGCUUAUGUGAAGAUGUAUGGUCAUUUGUUUCUGACAUAUUUACCACUAGAAAUGCUGGGCUGAAUCGAGAA